rnacentral:rRNA from 1 species
AGUGAACGCUGGCGGCAGGCCUAACACAUGCAAGUCGAGCGGCAGCGCGUCCGACCACCCUCGGGUGGUCGGAUGGCGGCGAGCGGCGGACGGGUGAGGAAUGCAUCGGAAUCUGCCUCGUUGUGGGGGAUAACGUAGGGAAACUUACGCUAAUACCGCAUACGACCUACGGGUGAAAGUGGGGGACCUUCGGGCCUCACGCGAUGAGAUGAGCCGAUGCCGGAUUAGCUAGUUGGCGGGGUAAAGGCCCACCAAGGCGACGAUCCGUAGCUGGUCUGAGAGGAUGAUCAGCCACACUGGAACUGAGACACGGUCCAGACUCCUACGGGAGGCAGCAGUGGGGAAUAUUGGACAAUGGGGGGCAACCCUGAUCCAGCCAUGCCGCGUGUGUGAAGAAGGCCUC